AACUUGAGAGUUUGAUCCUGGCUCAGAACGAACGCUGGCGGCAGGCUUAACACAUGCAAGUCGAGCGCGUAGCAAUACGAGCGGCAGACGGGUGAGUAACACGUGGGAAUCUACCCAUCCCUGCGGAACAACUUCGGGAAACUGAAGCUAAUACCGCAUACGCCCUUUGGGGGAAAGAUUUAUCGGGGAUGGAUGAGCCCGCGUCCGAUUAGCUAGUUGGUGGGGUAAUGGCCUACCAAGGCGACGAUCGGUAGCUGGUCUGAGAGGAUGAUCAGCCACACUGGGACUGAGACACGGCCCAGACUCCUACGGGAGGCAGCAGUGGGGAAU
rnacentral:rRNA from 1 species